rnacentral:misc_RNA from 1 species
UCCGAGUUGACCCCGGCAGUCUCCCAUGAGUCCCCGGCAUAACCCGCUGGCAACAUGGGGUGAGGGUUGCGCUCGUUGCGGGACUUAACCCAACAUCUCACGACACGAGCUGACGACAACCAUGCACCACCUGUAAACCGACCACAAGUGGGGCGCCUGUUUCCAGACGUUUCCGGUUCAUGUCAAGCCUUGGUAAGGUUAUUCGCGUUGCAUCGAAUUAAGCCACAUGCUCCGCCGCUUGUGCGGGCCCCCGUCAAUUCCUUUGAGUUUUAGCCUUGCGGCCGUACUCCCCAGGCGGGGUGCUUAAUGCGUUAGCUUCGGCACGGACGGAGUCGACACCGCCCACACCUAGCACCCAUCGUUUACGGCUGGGACUAC